rnacentral:rRNA from 1 species
GGCAUAGCUGGGUAGCUAUGUGUGGACGGGAUAAGUGCUGAAAGCAUCUAAGCAUGAAGCCCCCCUCAAGAUGAGAUUUCCCAACUUCGGUUAUAAGAUCCCUCAAAGAUGAUGAGGUUAAUAGGUUCGAGGUGGAAGCAUGGUGACAUGUGGAGCUGACGAAUACUAAUCGAUCGAAGACUUAAUCAA